AUGGGCAUGAGGGCUGCUACUCGGUUGCUGGGGCUGCUGUUGCUUUGGCUCCCAGGUACCAAAUGUGAUAUUCAGUUGACUCAGUCUCCAUCCUCCCUGUCUGCAUCUGUAGGAGACAAAAUCACCAUGACUUGCCGGGCAAGUCAGGGCAUUAGCAAUGACUUACAUUGGUACCAGAAGAAACAAGGGGAAGCUUCUAAACUCCUCAUAUAUAAUGCAAAAAAUUUACAGCCUGAUGUCCCAUCAAGGUUCAGUGGCCAAUAUUCAGGGACAGAUUUUACUCUGACUAUCAGCAACCUUGAGACUGAAGAUGUUGCAGCUUAUUAUUGUCAGCAUGGUUACAACUUACCUCCCACAAUCACAUACAGACCAGGAGAAAAACUAGUUCUUAGAAGAAGAUGCUAA